UACGAAGGGGGCGAGCGUUGUUCGGAAUCACUGGGCGUAAAGGGCGCGUAGGCGGCCCUCUUAGUCGCGUGUGAAAGCCCCGGGCUCAACCUGGGAACGGCGCGCGAAACGGGAGGGCUGGAGUUCGGGAGAGGAGAGUGGAAUUCCCAGUGUAGAGGUGAAAUUCGUAGAUAUUGGGAAGAACACCGGUGGCGAAGGCGGCUCUCUGGACCGAGACUGACGCUGAGGCGCGAAAGCCAGGGGAGCAAACGGG
rnacentral:rRNA from 1 species